rnacentral:rRNA from 1 species
GCUGCACGAAGCUGGAAUCGCUAGUAAUCGCGGAUCAGAAUGCCGCGGUGAAUACGUUCCCGGGUCUUGUACACACCGCCCGUCACACCAUGGGAGCUGGAAAUGCCCGAAGUCGGUGACCCAACCUGAGAAGGAGGGAGCCGUCGAAGGCGGGUCUGAUGACUGGGGUGAAGUCGUAACAAGGUAGC